CACGUAGGGUGCGAGCGUUGUCCGGAAUUAUUGGGCGUAGAGAGCUCGUAGGCGGUCUGUUGCGUCCGCUGUGAAAACUCGGGGCUUAACCCCGAGCCUGCAGUGGAUACGGGCAGACUAGAGGUAGGUAGGGGAGAAUGGAAUUCCCGGUGUAGCGGUGAAAUGCGCAGAUAUCGGGAGGAACACCGGUGGCGAAGGCGGUUCUCUGGGCCUUACCUGACGCUGAGGAGCGAAAGCGUGGGGAGCGAACAGG
rnacentral:rRNA from 1 species